AAGAUGAGGUAGGCUACAUCCUGCUGAUUUACAGACACUUGUAUGUGCUGCUACCUGUGAUUAAGAACUGACUUCAAAUGCUAGCAAGAGGAUGAUUUAAGGUAUUAACAUUGUUUCACACAUUACAUUUUUUGUCCAUUUGGACUCCUUAGCCAUCUUCGUGUUUAAAGGAUGUAGUUGCACUUGCGUACCAACUAAAUAGUUGCGGAGAAACACAUUUAAUUGAUGACUUUACUAUGUUUAGCUUAGUUAGGACUUUUGAAAAGCGAAGACCGGACUCCUUAGCCAUCUUCGUGUUCAUAGGAAUGAUUAAUGGAGGACUAUUAAAAGCAAAGACUGGGCUCCUUAGCCAUCUUUGUGUUCAUAGGAUUGAUUAAUGGAGGAAUUUUAAAAGCAAAGACUGGGCUCCUUAGCCAUCUUUGUGUUCAUAGGAUUGAUUAAUGGAGGAAUUUUAAAAGCGAAGACUGGACUCCUUAGCCAUCUUCGUGUUUAAAGGAUGUAGUUGAGGAAAAAAAGAUCGGUCUCCAUGGCCAUCUUUGUUUAGGUAGAAUAAAAAAUGGACUUGGACAUUUUUGAGAGCGAAGAUCGGACUCCACAGCCAUCUUCGUACUUAUUGGAAAGGAUAUUGUAUUAUUUUUUAAACAUGAGGAAUUUUAGCUGAGGACUAGAUGUAGUAAUAGUCAUCAAUUGAAUUGUUGAUCCAAGACAUUGUUUAAUACAUUACAUUUUUUGUCCCUUUUUUUUUUUUUUACAAUGAUAUCGAAAGAUAUCAUUAAAUAUCUAGACUAGAUCUUUUGUAUAGUAAUUAUAGUAUUUUAUAAUAGCUAUACAUUUUUAAGUAAACUAUUUGUUUGUUUUUUUUUCUGUUUCAAAUGCUGAGCAUACAUAACUAAACUGGAAGAACAGAUGAAGUCCAAAACGCUAAAGCAACAGACAACCCAGAUCAAGAUGAGGUAGGCUACAUUCUGCUGAUUUACAGAUGAAGUCCAAAACGCUAAAGCAACAGACAGCCCAGAUAAAUACAUAACAGUGAACAUCUUGAGAAGUAAAACAAUUCCUAGAGGCAAAGACACAGACACACUGGAUAUAUUAGAGAUUUUCCUUUUCUACCAUUAUUUAGAGACUUUCUUGUGCUCUAAGGGAACCUGCCAUUAUCUUUUGAUUGCUAAUUGGUGUUGAUGUUUUUACAUUCCUACUGCGUUUGAAAGAAAUUAACAUUUCCCUAAUGCUACUUCAAAACCAGACCUUCUCAAGACAAUUUUGGUGACCAAGCUGCAAUAUGGAACUCAGUAGGAAACAAUGAAGAAUGCUCCUAACCUCAGGUUGAGUACCCAUGCUUAGGUACUCUAGUGGUGACACAUACUUCUACACCGACAGUUAUACAUCCUGAACCCUGUAACCCAUCCUCACAACAUGGUUACAUUACCGGAAGUGGUCGCAAAGUCAGAAAACCUAACAGGUACAAUGAAAAGAACAAUCAUUUCUAAUAUAGGUACAAGUACUCAAGUGAUGUACUUUGUAAGAACUAUAAUUGACUUGUAAAACUUGGUCUAUAUUUAGAUAUAUCUUGACAAUCAGUCCAGUCAUUUGUAAAUUUUUUUUUUUAAAUAUUCCUUUUUUUCCCUCACUCUUCUUGUUGUUUCAGUUAAAUGUUUUUGUAUUUUGAAGGAGGAAGGUGCUGUAGUAUAUUAUCGUUAUUAUUAUUGUACCAGUAUUAAGCAAACUUGUAUAUGUAUAUUAUUUAUGAAUUCUAAUGCAGAACAUCACUUCCACCGGAAAAUGUUGUAAUAACUAUACGUGUCUUCAGUUAACAUUCAAUACUCUAUAGUCACAACACCAAAGCCUUGCUACAUUAUGUUUUUAAUUCAAUUUUUUAUCUCCCCUGCUUUUGUGUGCUAUCAUAAAAUGUUUAAUGUCACAUCCCUGCACAAUUUGUUCUAUGCUUUUUACAGUGUAAAUAGUGACUUGACAUUAUUUAGCUCUAUUAUAAUAUUGUUAUAUUAUUAUAUUUAAAAUAAAACUGUUAACAUUUUCUAUGCUGUUAUAAUAUGAAUGUUUUGCUGUUACCAUGAAUGCAGUUUUGAGUUUUCGUCUGAUAUCUUAGAGGAGAAAUUUUUAUAAAUAAUAAUAAUGAUAAGGCUUAUCUUCGAGUCCGAAGAUAGGUGAGGAAUGCAGUAUUUCCUGUUGCUGCGCAGCCCAUCUAGGACCUACAUAUUGUGCUAUAAAUAAAGAGUAUAUUAAUAUUUACUAUUUGGUAUUGUCAGUCUUCACUAAAGCAAUGAGUUUAUCCCCUUAGUCUAUUUAAAACUUUAAAAUACUAAUUCACUUUGUCUUAUCUAAUGGUGAUCAUGGGGUAUCCACUUUGCCAUCUCCAUAGUCUCUGGUGUUAACACUCACUGUCCUGUUGGAGGUUACGGCUAGGAUGUAAUCUCUAUUUCUGAUGGAACACAUGUAAAUCCAACAAAACAAACAUUAGACCUAGACUUUAUUAACUUUUUUAUAAUUGUGAACUGGCGCUCCCAAAGCUAUUUUUAUGUAUUUUUAUUUUUACUUUUGUAGGCUAGUGCUAAGCUGUAUAGUUGUAUUUCUGCCUAUUAUUAUAUUAUUAUAUGGGUUAGGGUGGAGUACUUAAAAUAGAGCCUAUGCUGCUUCCUGUACUGUUGACCAGUGGUCUCUGUGUCAGUUUUAAUUAUUCUGUACCUGGGACUACCUGUAAGUUUCAGAACUAUUUUUAUUUUUUAAAAUUUUACUAUGUGUAAAUCUACUUUAUAUUUGAACAACUGUCAAAAUAACUGGCAGUUUGUUUUAAAAAUAUGGCCAAGCCCUGCCCAGUGCUUUCAUGAUGGCCACUUCUAAAGUUUAUGUACUAGAUUGUAACUGCUGCCUUAGUCAUUUAAAUUAAAGUCUCAUUUUUGUAUUU